GACACGUCCAAAAAGAAGGAAAGGACACCUCGCCAAUCAGGGUACUAUGUGAGCAGAUGCCAGGACUUGGCGUAAACAUCUUGGAGACCUCAUCAAACCCGGCACCUCCAAGUCCACAUUCAUCCACCUCCGCAAAGCUCUUGCCAAGCUGGUGGGUUUGUACCAACUGUAGGGAGAUGCCAACACAACAGGACAGAUCUUGAGGCACCUUGUUCUGGACCACCAUUAGAGU